UACGUAGGGACCAAGCGUUGUUCGGAUUUACUGGGCGUAAAGGGCGCGUAGGCGGCGCGGUAAGUCACUUGUGAAAUCUCUGAGCUUAACUCAGAACGGCCAAGUGAUACUGCAGUGCUAGAGUGUGGAAGGGGCAAUCGGAAUUCUUGGUGUAGCGGUGAAAUGCGUAGAUAUCAAGAGGAACACCUGAGGUGAAGGCGGCUCUCUGGGACGGUACUGACGCUGAGACGCGAAAGCGUGGGGAGCGAACAGG
rnacentral:rRNA from 1 species